UGGAAUCAUUUUAAAAACUUUUUGUGCUCCAAAAAUUAACAAUAAGCAAAACAAAAGAAAGAUUUAACUGAUUGCGAGCCUUUAAAGCCAGGAGUUGUGUGACAUCAUUUAGUCUUCUGACAUACCAAUAGAGCAGCUACGUGACAUGUAUGUAUGGAAAUUACUUUGUGGAUAAUCAACUCAAUGGUUAUCUGCUGUACACACCUUCCUUUAGAAAAUGUUGAUAUUGAACUUUGUCACUGCAAUCUUUUAACAAACAUUUCCAUUAUGACAAAGAGCAUUCAACAUUUUCUUCUAUAAAUGGUCAGUGAACUACUUUACUUUACUUUUAUAUUCUCGGGACCAUUUUAAUUUUAAAUUUUGUAAAAAUUGGCAUUCAGAGUUUGAUUUGUCUUGAUGUUCAUUUUGGAUUAA